rnacentral:lncRNA from 1 species
GAGGUGCUUGGUUGGUUGGAGUUCCCCGAAUAGGCUGAGAUGCUGGUCGAGUCUGUUGCUCUCUGUGAUUAGGAUAGGUGUUUGCCCUUUGGCCCUAUUGGCCACACGAAAAGCAAUUCCCAUUGAACCAGUGACAGUUUCUUCAAUAGUGGGGACCGCCACAUCUAUAGCAUUUUAUAAUAUCCUUGUGCUAAGUUUUAUCAUUCACAAUAGUUUGUUUCUUGGGCCUC